rnacentral:rRNA from 1 species
GACGGAGGAGGCAAGCGUUGUUCGGAAUUAUUGGGCGUAAAGGGCGCGUAGGCGGAUCGGCAUGUCUGGCGUGAAAUCUCCACCGCUUAACGGGGAGAGGUCGCUGGAAACUACCGAUCUGGAGUUCGGCAGAGGGCCAUGGAAUUCCAGGUGUAGCGGUGGAAUGCGUAGAUAUCUGGAAGAACACCGGUGGCGAAGGCGGUGGCCUGGGCCGAAACUGACGCUGAGGCGCGAAAGCCAGGGGAGCAAACGGG